GACGAACGCUGGCGGCGUGCUUAACACAUGCAAGUCGAACGGAAAGGCCUGCUUUCCCUUGUGGAUUGCGGGUACUCGAGUGGCGAACGGGUGAGUAACACGUGAGUGAUCUGCCCCCAACUUGGGUAUAAGCCUGGGAAACUGGGUCUAAUUCCCGAUAGGACUGCAGGGUGGUGCCUGUGGUGGAAAACGAUUUUCUAGUGGUUGGGGAUGAGCUCGCGGCCUAUCAGCUUGUUGGUGGGGUAAAGGCCUACCAAGGCGGCGACGGGUAGCCGGCCUGGGAUGGUGGACGGCCGCAUUGGGGCUGGGAUACGGCCCAGACUGCUACGGGAGGCAGCAGUGGGGAAUAAUGCACAGUGGGCUGAAGCCUGAUGCAGCGACGCCGCGUGGGGGAUGACGGCCUUCGGGUUGUAAGCUCCUUUCGACCGCGAGGAAGCCACCUGGUUGGAAGGGUGGUGACGGUAGUGGUAGAAGAAGCACCGGCUAACUACGUG
rnacentral:rRNA from 1 species